GAUGCAUUCAACUGAGUACAGUGCCACAUCAAUGAAAAGUUGAAAGGCACACCCACCAAAGACUUUAUAAAGUGCUCCAGUUCUUAUGGUGUUUUCUGACCAGGAUCUGUACCAAGCAGAUGAACGUGCCAAGAUGUCUUCGUUCUCCCUGGCUGCACAUCCUCCUGUAGUCUUCAUGCCGGCCUUCGUUUGACCUGUUUUUGGGAAGUUCUGCCUUUUCCUUCUAUUUUAAUCUACACUCUGUUGCCACCAUUACAUAUCCAUGCAUGUAGAGUUGAUGGUAGUAUACUAAAACUUUUUAGAAGAGAAGAUAUGAAAACCCAAAUGGAGUGAAUAGCUAACCAGAAGACAUAUAUUAAAUAAGCAAAAUUCCCAACUAUGUUGCUG
rnacentral:lncRNA from 1 species